rnacentral:lncRNA from 1 species
UGGUGAUUUUUAGAGCAAUAUUUAAUCAGGUGAAUACCAGCAAAGAGAGAAAAUACAGAAAAAGAAAUUUCCAUAAGGCAUGAUAUGAAUAAAUAAGUGAAAAAACAAUCUCGGGUUUAAAAGUAAAGCAUGAGAAUUUGAAGCCUGUGAAAUUUUAUUUAUACAAAAGAAUAAAAAGUUAUUUAAAAAGAACUGAUUUAAACUUAUGUUUUUCCAUUUUUCCUGUUCCUUGAACAUGAAUCUACUACCAACUCAGAAAGAUUUAAGAUAGGUAAUUACUAAACACUCUUUACCUCCCCUUGCAAAAAACAGAGGCAAGUUUCCCAUUUUACUUAUGAUAAACCAGAUUAUUUUCAGUUAUGAAUAUUGGCAACUGCAUGAAAGAGAUGAUCAGAUAUGUCAGAGAAGGGAAGCAGGGCUCUACAGCCUGGAAGCUUCUGC